GACGAACGCUGGCGGCGUGCUUAACACAUGCAAGUCGAGCGGAAAGGCCACUUCGGUGGUACUCGAGCGGCGAACGGGUGAGUAACACGUGAGUAAUCUGCCCCUGGCUUUGGGAUAGCCACCGGAAACGGUGAUUAAUACCGGAUACGACCACUUCUCGCAUGGGAUGGUGGUGGAAAGUUUUUUCGGCCAGGGAUGCGCUCGCGGCCUAUCAGCUUGAUGGUGAGGUAAUGGCUCACCAUGGCUUCGACGGGUAGCCGGCCUGAGAGGGUGACCGGUCACAGUGGGACUGAGACACGGCCCAGACUCCUACGGGAGGCAGCAGUGGGGAGUAUUGGACAAUGGGCGGAAGCCUGAUCCAGCAACGCCGCGUGAGGGAUGACGGCCUUCGGGUUGUAAACCUCUUUCAGCAGGGACGAAGCGCAAGUGACGGUACCUGCAGAAGAAGCACCGGCCAACUACGUGCCAGCCGCCGCAGUAA
rnacentral:rRNA from 1 species